rnacentral:rRNA from 1 species
UACGUAGGGGGCCAGCGUUGGUUCGGAAUUACUGGGCGUAAAGAGCGCGUAGGCGGCGCAGUGUGUUUGGUGUGAAAUCUCCCGGCUCAACCGGGAGGGGCCAUCGAAAACGUGCUGUGCUUCGGGUUUGGGAGAGGGGAGUGGAAUUCCCGGUGUAGCGGGUGAAAUGCGUAGAUAUCGUUUGGAACGCCAAUGGUGAAAACAGGUUGCUGGGAGUGAUGCUGACGCUGGAGACACGAAAGCCAGGGGAGCAAACGGG